UACGGGGGGAGCAAGCGUUGUUCGGAUUUACUGGGCGUAAAGAGCGCGCAGGCGGUCGAUCAAGUCGCGUGUGAAAGCCCCCGGCUCAACUGGGGAGGGUCACGCGAUACUGAUCGACUCGAAGGCAGGAGAGGGUAGUGGAAUUCCCGGUGUAGUGGUGAAAUGACGUAGAUAUCGGGAGGAACACCAGUGGCGAAGGCGACUACCUGGCCUGUUUCUUGACGCUGAGGCGCGAAAGCUGGAG
rnacentral:rRNA from 1 species